UACGUAGGGACCAAGCGUUGUUCGGAUUUACUGGGCGUAAAGGGUGCGUAGGCGGCUUAUUAAGUCAGUGGUGAAAGCCCCAAGCUUAACUUGGGAACUGCCAUUGAUACUGAUGAGCUUGAGUAGAUUUGAGGCGGGCGGAAUGUGUCGUGUAGCGGUGAAAUGCUUAGAUAUGACACAGAACACCAAUUGCGUAGGCAGCUCGCUAAACUCUUACUGACGCUGAGGCACGGAAAGCAUGGGGAUCAAACAGGG
rnacentral:rRNA from 1 species